ensembl:snRNA U1 U1 spliceosomal RNA
AUACUUACCUGGCAGGGGAGAUACCAUGAUCACGAAGGUGGUUUUCCCAGGGCGAGGCUUAUCCAUUGCACUCCGGAUGUGCUGACCCCUGCGAUUUCCCCAAAUGUGGGAAACUCGACUGCAUAAUUUGUGGUAGUGGGGGACUGCGUUCGCGCUUUCCCCUA